rnacentral:rRNA from 1 species
AGAGUUUGAUCAUGGCUCAGAUUGAACGCUGGCGGCAUGCCUAACACAUGCAAGUCGAACGGAAACGAUGCUAGCUUGCUAGUAGGCGUCGAGUGGCGGACGGGUGAGUAAUGUAUAGGAACUUGCCCAGUAGUGGGGGACAACUUAUGGAAACGUAAGCUAAUACCGCAUAAUCUCUACGGAGGAAAGCAGGGGCUCUUUGGACCUUGUGCUACUGGAUAGGCCUAUAUUGGAUUAGCUAGUUGGUGAGGUAAAGGCUCACCAAGGCGACGAUCCAUAGCUGGUUUGAGAGAAUGAUCAGCCACACUGGGACUGAGACACGGCCCAGACUCCUACGGGAGGCAGCAGUGGGGAAUAUUGCACAAUGGAGGAAACUCUGAUGCAGCAAUGCCGCGUGUGUGAAGAAGGCCUUAGGGUUGUAAAGCACUUUCAAUAGGGAGGAAAAGUAAGUAGUUAAUACCUGCUUACCGUGACGUUACCUAUAGAAGAAGGACCGGCUAACUCCGUGCCAGCAGCCGCGGUAAUACGGAGGGUCCGAGCGUUAAUCGGAAUUACUGGGCGUAAAGCGCGCGUAGGCGGAUAUAUAAGUCAGAUGUGAAAGCCCUGGGCUCAACCUAGGAACUGCAUUUGAAACUGUAUAUCUAGAGUAUGGUAGAGGUGAGUGGAAUUUCAGGUGUAGCGGUGAAAUGCGUAGAGAUCUGAAGGAACAUCAGUGGCGAAGGCGACUCACUGGGCCAUUACUGACGCUGAGGUGCGAAAGCGUGGGUAGC